UCUUAUCGAAUGCUUUCUUCACUCUCUGCUGAUAUAACUGACCAUGACACAUGGCAGUUAAUCUCCUCUUUUUGAUCAGAUUCAGUUGGUCGUAACGACUCUGAAUCCAUUCAGCAUCAGUCAACUUGGGACUUUGAGGGUGCUAUUUUUCUUUUGUUUCUUUCUUUCUUUUUUCUUUCUUUUGAUUUUUGAUUUGAUUUCUUGUGAUUUCUUUUGAUUUUGCACCCUCCUCUUUCUU
rnacentral:lncRNA from 1 species